GAAAUUCCCAUGCAGAGUCCUAUAUCCAUCACCAAGUUCCAAAAAAGUGCACGAAUGACAUGUGAAAUUCAAACAUUAGGGGCAAAUUUUGAUGGUGCCGUCAUACACUGGUAUCUGCAGAAGGAGGGUGAAGCUCCAAAGAGGCUCUUGUUCCUUUCAGGAGGAAAAGCUACCGUUGAAACUGGCUUUCAAGCAAGCAGAUACAUAGUUGAAAGAAUUUCUGAUCAGCGACGGUGUGUUCUUACAAUAAAAGAUGUAAUUCCAACUGAUGCUGCUACUUACUACUGUGCCUACUGGGAUCCUCACUGUGAUAGAAACUCAAAGAUCAUCAAGGCAAAAAAACACCUGCAACGUCUGAACCACAAGGUGGCUUUGUGCAAGAAAUUCCCAUGGAGAGCUCUCUGUCUGUCACCAAGUCUAAACGAAGUGUACGCCUGGAAUUGUCCUUUUAAAGGUGACUUUGAAGAUUUUGGUCACACCACCAUGACAAUGUUUGUAUCAAAAGAAGGCAAAAAAAGCUUCAGAUAAGAUUUUCUGCUUCUCAGGUGUAAAAGUAGUAAAUGAUGACUUCCAAGC